GUGGCCCAGCGUUUCAUUUAUAUAUCCGCGAUGUUACCAAAAUACCCCUCAUAUUCACCUAAAUUUUUGCUCUGGACCGGUACGACGUCGGUUAAGUGUUCAGAAAUUAACGAUCCAUUCUCCUGGCAUGUGAUUAGUUUCUGAAUUAUCCUGAUUUUAUUUAUUUAUUUAUUUAUUUAAAGUAGUUACAGGUGUCAUUAAAUGGGGCAGUUCAAUUAGUUUGAUUUUGCUGCACGUUUUAGCCAUAACUUUAUUGGACAAGCGCCAUUUCCCACCUGUGAAGUUUGAAAAGUACACUUUUCUACCCAUCUUAAUAUCAUAUAAAGUCAAACCUUAGUUUUACAAAGCAAGAGAAAAGAGAAAGAAAGCAACAAAGUCACAACAGGCGAGCAAUAUAAGCAAACUUUGCAAUUUUUUUGUUGCAUUUGUAAUUUCUUCUCUCUACAGAAGAAGAAGAAGAAGUAAAAAGUCUUUAUUUUCUUAAGAGUUUUAAUUUUUACUUGGUCUUGUAUAAGAAACUUAUUUUUCAUUUUAACUAUUAUAACACAACUCAAUUGUUUAAUAAAAAUAUAAUUACUAACGAUCUUGAAAAUAUCUAUUCAUAUAUCAAAAGCUUUGAAUAAUACCAUUGUGGGAAAAGUUGGGUUAGUUUA